GAUGAACGCUGGCGGCGUGCCUAAUACAUGCAAGUCGAGCGAACAGACGAGGAGCUUGCUCCUCUGACGUUAGCGGCGGACGGGUGAGUAACACGUGGAUAACCUACCUAUAAGACUGGGAUAACUUCGGGAAACCGGAGCUAAUACCGGAGAAGAUAUUGAACCGCAUGGUGCAAUAGUGAAAGACGGUUUUGCUGUCACGUAUAGAGGGAUCCGCGCCGCAUUAGCUAGUUGGUAAGGUAACGGCUUACCAAGGCAACGAUGCGUAGCCGACCUGAGAGGGUGAUCGGCCACCCUGGAACUGAGACACGGUCCAGACUCCUACGGGAGGCAGCAGUAGGGAAUCUUCCGCAAUGGGCGAAAGCCUGACGGAGCAACGCCGCGUGAGUGAUGAAGGUCUUCGGAUCGUAAAACUCUGUUAUUAGGGAAGAACAAAUGUGUAAGUAACUAUGCACGUCUUGACGGUACCUAAUCAGAAAGCCACGGCUAACUACGUG
rnacentral:rRNA from 1 species